AAUGUAAUGCAUACAGUGUUAAUGCAAUGGAUUCCAUUAGAACUCUGUAGUUAAGCACACUUGGGCUAGAGUAGUACUACAAUGGGUGAUCUCUCGGGAAGUCCUAGUGUUUUACAUGC
rfam:Picea glauca, whole genome shotgun sequence.